rnacentral:rRNA from 1 species
UGGGGAAUUUUGGACAAUGGGCGCAAGCCUGAUCCAGCAAUGCCGCGUGCAGGAAGAAGGCCUUCGGGUUGUAAACCGCUUUAGUCCGGGAAAAAGGGCUGACGUGCUAAUACCGCGUUGGUUUGAUGGUACUGGAAGAAUAAGCACCGGCUAACUACGUGCCAGCAGCCGCGGUAAUACGUAGGGUGCGAGCGUUAAUCGGAAUUACUGGGCGUAAAGCGUGCGCAGGCGGUUAUGUAAGACAGAUGUGAAAUCCCCGGGCUCAACCUGGGAACUGCGUUUGUGACUGCAUAACUAGAGUACGGCAGAGGGAGGUGGAAUUCCGCGUGUAGCAGUGAAAUGCGUAGAUAUGCGGAGGAACACCGAUGGCGAAGGCAAUCCCCUGGACCUGUACUGACGCUCAUGCACGAAAGCGUGGGGAGCAAACA